GACGAACGCUGGCGGCGUGCUUAACACAUGCAAGUCGAACGGAAAGGCCUCUUUCGGGGGGUACUCGAGUGGCGAACGGGUGAGUAACACGUGAGUAACCUGCCCUUGACUUUGGGAUAACUUCAGGAAACUGGGGCUAAUACCGGAUAGGAGCUCCUGCUGCAUGGUGGGGGUUGGAAAGUUUCGGCGGUUGGGGAUGGACUCGCGGCUUAUCAGCUUGUUGGUGGGGUAGUGGCUUACCAAGGCUUUGACGGGUAGCCGGCCGGAGAGGGUGACCGGCCACAUUGGGACUGAGAUACGGCCCAGACUCCUACGGGAGGCAGCAGUGGGGAAUAUUGAACAAUGGGUGGAAGCCUGAUGCAGCAACGCCGUGUGCGGGAUGACGGACUUCGGGUUGUAAACCGAUUUCGCUCAUGACGAAGCUUUGUGUGACGGUAGUGGGUAAAGAAGCACCGGCUAACUACGUG
rnacentral:rRNA from 1 species